UCGAUCCUACGGGGCGCAGCAGUGGGGAAUAUUGGGCAAUGGGCGCAAGCCUGACCCAGCAACGCCGCGUGAAGGAAGAAGGCUUUCGGGUUGUAAACUUCUUUUGUCAGGGAAGAGUAGAAGACGGUACCUGACGAAUAAGCCACGGCUAACUACGUGCCAGCAGCCGCGGUAAUACGUAGGUGGCAAGCGUUAUCCGGAUUUACUGGGUGUAAAGGGCGUGUAGGCGGGAAAGCAAGUCAGAUGUGAAAACCAUGGGCUCAACCUGUGGCCUGCAUUUGAAACUGUUUUUCUUGAGUACUGGG
rnacentral:rRNA from 1 species